rnacentral:rRNA from 1 species
CAGAGGGGGCAAGCGUUGUUCGGAAUUACUGGGCGUAAAGGGCGCGUAGGCGGCCUGCUAAGUCGAACGUGAGAUCCCCGGGCUCAACCCGGGAACUGCGUCCGAUACUGGCAGGCUUGAAUCCGGGAGAGGGAUGUGGAAUUCCAGGUGUAGCGGUGAAAUGCGUAGAUAUCUGGAGGAACACCGGUGGCGAAGGCGGCAUCCUGGACCGGUAUUGACGCUGAUGCGCGAAAGCCAGGGGAGCAAACGGGAUUAGAUACCCCGGUAGUCCUGGCCCUAAACGAUGAAUGCUUGGUGUGGCGGGUAUCGAUCCCUGCCGUGCCGAAGCUAACGCAUUAAGCAUUCCGCCUGGGGAGUACGGUCGCAAGGCUG